GAUGAAGAACGCAGCGAAAUGCGAUAAGUAAUGUGAAUUGCAGAAUUCAGUGAAUCAUCGAAUCUUUGAACGCACAUUGCGCCCGCCAGUAUUCUGGUGGGCAUGCCUGUUCGAGCGUCAUUUCAACCAUCAAGCCCCAGGCUUGUGUUGGGGACCUGCGGCUGCCGCAGGCCCUGAAAACCAGUGGCGGGCUCGCUGUCACACCGGGCGUAGUAGAUUUUAUCUCGCUCAGGGCGUGCUGCGGGUUCCGGCCGUUAAAAAGCCUUUUUUACCCAAGGUUGACCUCGGAUCAGGUAGGAAGACCCGCUGAACUUAAGCAUAUCAUAAGCGGAGGA
rnacentral:misc_RNA from 1 species